rnacentral:misc_RNA from 1 species
GCUACUACCGAUUGAAUGGUUUAGUGAGGACUCCUGAUUGGCGCCGCCGCCCCGGCAACGGAGCAGCGGACUGCCGAACAGUUGUUCAAACUUGAUCAUUUAGAGGAAGUAAAAGUCGUAACAAGGUUUCCGUAGGUGAACCUGCAGAAGGAUCAAGAUCGGCAGAGCACCGGUAUGAACUCCAGUUCCGUGUCCUAUUACCGUAUGCCGUCUGCUGCUUGAAUACACAAAC